AUUGAACGCUGGCGGCAUGCUUUACACAUGCAAGUCGAACGGCAGCGGGGUAGUGCUUGCACUACUGCCGGCGAGUGGCGAACGGGUGAGUAAUAUAUCGGAACGUACCGAGUAAUGGGGGAUAACCAAUCGAAAGAUUGGCUAAUACCGCAUACGUCCUAAGGGAGAAAGCGGGGGAUCGCAAGACCUCGCGUUAUUCGAGCGGCCGAUAACUGAUUAGCUAGUUGGUGGGGUAAAGGCCUACCAAGGCGACGAUCAGUAGCGGGUCUGAGAGGACGAUCCGCCACACUGGGACUGAGACACGGCCCAGACUCCUACGGGAGGCAGCAGUGGGGAAUUUUGGACAAUGGGGGCAACCCUGAUCCAGCCAUGCCGCGUGUAUGAAGAAGGCCUUCGGGUUGUAAAGUACUUUUGUUAGGGAAGAAAAGGGAAGUGCUAAUACCACUUUUUGCUGACGGUACCUAAAGAAUAAGCACCAGCUAACUACGUGCCAGCAGCCGCGGUAAUACGUAGGGUGCGAGCGUUAAUCGGAAUUACUGGGCGUAAAGCGAGCGCAGACGGUUACUUAAGCAGGAUGUGAAAUCCCCGGGCUUAACCUGGGAACUGCGUUCUGAACUGGGUAGCUAGAGUAUGUCAGAGGGGGGUAGAAUUCCACGUGUAGCAGUGAAAUGCGUAGAGAUGUGGAGGAAUACCGAUGGCGAAGGCAGCCCCCUGGGAUGAUACUGACGUUCAUGCUCGAAAGCGUGGGUAGCAAACAGG
rnacentral:rRNA from 1 species